AUCGCAGCGGCGGCGUUUUGCAUCAUGCAGGACUGCUCACGAUAAGAACCCUGUUAAACGCUGCCCAUGUGAUGGCAGGCAGCCGCGCCGGGUCCUCCUCCGUAGAUUAAUUAGCGGAUUUGCGACUUCUGAGAGUCUCGGAUUGAGUGUCUUAAUGAGGAUAUUGCGGCAAUGGUGAAGGACAAGGCCGAAAACCGGACGCUUCAGUAUCAGCAAACUUUGGACUGACAGUGGUACCCUGGAGCAAUCCACGCAGGGAUAUCUAUAUUCAGAUAAAGGCACAGACAGAUAGGCUGGCAGUCAGUGGAUUACAGUCUCCUUCCACCCUGAUUUGUCCUGUGCAGAGAUGCAGGAGAGAUCCUUUGAGCAGCAACUGGCAGUUGGAAAGCAACCAGGGUCUGGUGCAUGGGUCAAUGGCUUCUACAACUGCUGUCAGGUGCAGUGCAUGCUGGGAUAGUGGGCAGUGG
rnacentral:lncRNA from 1 species